UACGUAGGGGGCAAGCGUUGUCCGGAUUUAUUGGGCGUAAAGAGCUCGUAGGCGGCUCGUCGCGUCGACCGCGAAAACCCGCGGCUCAACUGUGGGCUUGCAGUCGAUACGGGCAGGCUGGAGUUCGGUAGGGGAGACUGGAAUUCCUGGUGUAGCGGUGAAAUGCGCAGAUAUCAGGAGGAACACCGGUGGCGAAGGCGGGUCUCUGGGCCGAUACUGACGCUGAGGAGCGAAAGCGUGGGGAGCGAACAGG
rnacentral:rRNA from 1 species